rnacentral:lncRNA from 1 species
AAAGUUUAUGAUACUUUAUAAAGUUGUCAGGAAAGGACAUCUACAGUAGGUCAGAUAUUAUUAAUAACUAUUAUCAACACUGCAUUGUUAACAAGAAUACAAUGUUUUUAUAAGAUACUUAUGAGUAAAGAACAUGAAUAGUAUACAUCUAAUUUUUUAAUACUCCAUAUACAAUCAACAUGUUUUGAUCAACAGUGUAAACCAUAUAAAAGAGAAUCUUGCUUUCUAUUUGUACAAAUAUUGAUUUCAUCACAGAAAAACUUUAUAAUAUUAAAAUGUACCAUAUAUUAGAGGAGUACAUCUUCCUUUCCAAAAUUUCAUAUCAUACAGCAAGAUUACUUUGUAGCCGAAUUAAGUCAAAAGUAUUUCUUUAAGAAAAAAAUUAGUAAAUGCACCUAAAAAUGCAGUUUUAUCUACCAGGUGAUUAGAGUAGGGAUUCUUAGUACUUCUGAUGGCAAUUCAGACAGGAAUUUGUAACCUCAGAGGGCAUACUGUGCUUGUG